UACGGUCGCGGAAACGGAGAGAAACCGUUUAUGAGGAAAGUCCGAGCGUUUCAGAAACAGGGUGCCGGAGAAAUCCCGGUGGAGGCGACUUUAAGGAAAGUGCAACAGAAAAUUACCGCCUUGGCAAAAGCCUUGGUAAGGAUGAAAAGGCGAGGUAAGAGCUCACCGCCCGUCCGGUAACGGACGGGGCUGUGUAAACCCCACCCGACGCAAGAUUGACAGGGCGUUUCUUUGGGAGUUUCGCCGAAACGUCUUAUUAAAAUAUCGCUGGGGGAUAACGGUAACGUUAUUCGUAGAUAAAUGACCGUACACGACAGAACUCGGCUUAUAGAGCUUCUU
rnacentral:RNase_P_RNA from 1 species